CUACUCGAAUUUAAUAGCAUUUUCGUAGAUUUCACGAAAAAUCGGACUACGAUGGAUUCUAUGACAGCCUUGAUUAGUUCUUGCCAAUAUAGCAACUCAGUUACCAGCUUUCAGUUGCUAGUUGCCAUCGGUAAUACCAUUUCAGCCACUGGCCAACCAACUGCAGUUCGGUUGUUCUCCGUAAUCGACCCA